rnacentral:lncRNA from 1 species
GUUUGUGUGCGCGUGCGCGCUCGUGUGUGUGUGUUCUUUUCUUGUUUUUGGGGUGGGGUACAAUGCAGACAUGCAUGUUGACUUAGUUCUGUAUUUUACUGUGUAUUUGCAUAAACUGAAGAAAUAAGCCAAUGAAAAGGGUGUGAGAUAUUGCCAGUUUUUGGAUGUCUAAAGCAGUGAGCAUCUAAUCAAGGUUGUAGAUUGGUUACAUCUAAUUGACAAGAUUGUAGCGGUGGUGAUACCUUACCUCUUCAUUAGGACAUAGUCUACUGGUAAUUUGUUUAUUGCCCAAAGUUGCAGUUGUAAUGUGUUAUGUAGAAGUGUAGCUUAGUUGCCUGAUAAAAAAGAAGUGUCUCUUAUAGCCCGUUUGGCCAAGCUGCAAAAAUCAGCUUAUUUCGAGAAGUGCUUUUUUUCAAAUGUGUUUUUCUCUAAAGUACUUUUGGUGAGAAGCAGUUUGUGUUUGGCUAAUUAGUUUGAAAAGCACUUCUGAGCAGCAAUUAGUGUUUGGUCAAGCUUUAGAAAACUGCUUCUAAGUGUAUUUUUCUCAAAAGUGCUUUUGGAGAUAAGCUACUUUUUUCUGCUUCUCCUCAAAAGCACUUUUUUUCCUUCCAAAAGCUUGGCCAAACACCUCAAUUUUUGGCCAAAAAUAAACUUGGCCAAACAGUCUAUUAGUUAUAUUUCAAGAUCCAUCAUGCUGAUGUUAUUAGACCUGAAAAGAAAGAAUGGAGAAAAAGUAUUUUAUAUUCGCCUUGCUCUCUUUGAACUUUAUUGUAUAAUUGUAUGUUGUAGCUUGCAAGUUUCGGUAACAAAGGGGUUCUACAAUUCAUGUUGACAGGUUGUGAGAGACAAGCGGACUGGUAAGACCAAGGGAUAUGGAUUUGUGAGUUUUUCCAACCCGUUAGACGGCUGCGGCACUUGAAGAAAUGAAUGGUAAGUUUUCUGUUAUUCAAGUAUAAUGAAUGUUGUGUCUCUUAUUGUGCUUAAGGUACUGCAGCAUAAUCGAUGUAGUGGGUCUGUCACAGUUACAUGAUCAGCUUUUACCUUCUUGAAGACCCAUCACUCAUAAGUGAUAGGCGUUGUCAAGGGCGGAUCUAUGUAGUGUAGAGGGGUUGUCACGCCACCCGGACGCUCAGGUAACAUUAAAUGUAUAUACUGAUAUUUCACAUAAUAAAAUGGAUAUUAAUAAAGGGCGCCACCCAUAAAAACAAACUGACGGUUGGUGCCAAUGGUAAAAGCUACAGUUUUUCAGGCCUUUAGCCCGGGUAGCCCCCAGGAUCGAAACUUCUUAUGUACGUUAUGUAUUUGCUUCCUUUUUCAUUUUCUAGAUCUCCAAAGUUUUGUUUGAAUAUAACUUUAAUUACUUUCCUUUGUUAUUCGUUAUUUUUUUCUUGAUAUCAAAUUGGACCAAAUAUUUUUAUUUGGUGAUUGCGUAUUUAUUUAUAUACCAAAAUUUUAUUAGCCGUAUUGUAUUAAUUCUAAAUAGAUCGAACCGAACUAAGAUAUUCAAAUAUAGUGAAUCGACCAAACAUCACUCUUUUACAAUAUCCUUGACUGGUGGUAGCUUGGCAUUAUGAGUGGCAUCCGCAGCCAUAAAAUCCUGGAUCCGCCUUUGGGCGUUGUAGCUUUCAGUUGGAUCUAACAGUUCCCUUGAUAUUCCAUCUGGUUGAUGCCACUUUGAUGUCUUUAUAUCAAUUGAUUCGGGUUGAUAUAAAGAGUGCCUGCUAUUAGGCCACUUGGUUUUGUAUUUGAACGCGUAAUCCCUGUUCCCUCCCCCUCCCCCCUCCACAAAAAAGAAGGAAUAGUGAAGGAACUAAGUAACAGAACUCUAUACUGAAAACAACAUUUACGACUGCUUCUAAAGUCAGUUUAAGUACAAUAAAAAUCAGUGAGAAAAGAACAACAUCAACCAAACUUGUAUGCAUGAAUUUCAUAAACCUGGUUUCUUGCGGAGUUCACAAAGUUUGGGUUGGAAGUAGGUUUAGUUAUUGAAUUGGUGUAAUAUUAUACCCAGAUGCCUAAUGAUGUGGUAAUUCAUGCUCUUUUCAGGGAAGGCUGUGGAAACCGUCCGAUUAUACUUCGUAAGAGCAAGUAGCAAACCAUGGAUUGGUGGAAGGGAAGAAACUAGUUGUUGUUUUGGAAACUUGGGUUUUACAAGAUAUCUGAAGUUACAUACUUUCAUUAAUAUAUCGGUAAAUAUCAAACUUAGUGUGGGUUUACUGAGGAUGAUUAAAGUUUUAAUCUUAGUUGGUUGUCCCUUUGCUUCCGUAUUGUUAUGUUAUUUGCUAAAUUUACAUGAACUUUGAAAUGUUGCGGCCAUUUUGAGACAUUUGUAUCUAUAUGAUUGUAGGUAUGAUCGAUAAGUGGAAGUCAUAAAAAAGAAAUCUU